UUUCGAUAGUAUUUUUUAACCCAUUAGCAAAUUUUUGCUAUUGCACUUUCAUUUGAGCAUAUAAACUAUUUUAAUUUUGUACAAACUUGAAUGCGGUAUUCGAAUGUGGAAGACACCGCUAAAUAUUUGAGCUUCAACGAACCUAGUUUUCUGUAUGUGUGUUAUUGUCAAUUGUGUAUUGCACCAAUUCUAGUAACUUACUUUGCCCUAGUCUGUCUUCUUAGCUUUUUUAGAGUUUGUUUUUUGGCUAGUUGACUUACUCGGGAACAUCACAAACAGUGCUAACUGAACCGAGCAGAGAGCUAGCGCCAUUAGGUUUUGGAUCUAAAGCAGCAGAAAUAUGUUAUUGAAAGUGCUAUUGGAGAAACUUUUUGAUAAACUUACUACAACGAAAUCGUUUCUGAUGGUUACACCAUAUAGUAACCACGAUAGCGAGACAAAUGCACCCGACAGUAUGAUGGGAAAUGGUAAUCCUUCGGUACUUCUAUUUUUCAGGAUCUCGCCCUGGAAGACUCAAAGGUUCUUGAAAGGAACAGGUACAACUCGUUCUCAACUUACCAAACCAAACAGUGGCAUUCCAACGAGGAGCAGGAGAACAGUCGUCUGUAUUAACCCGAAGCGAAACAUAACCAGCUCCGGGUCCUCAUACUGUACGUAGGACAAUAUUCCAACUGCAAUCGCACCGGCAAGUCCUAUUUGUCCCCAAACUUUGUUCUUGGUGGGUCCUUGUGUGAACAGAUAAAAACAGCACACAUACAGGAAAUUUAGUGCUAAUCCAACAAAGUUCACCCGUAUCAUUGCAUCGUCCGCCAGCAUUUGACCGAACUGGAUGUUUAGCAGACAGAACACUGCCCCGCCGAGGAAUGGUCCGGCACUGAUCCCCUCGGUGUUUCCUUUCUUCCUGAUGUCAUUCAGCACUAAGAAUCCACUGAAGAACUGCAAUAUCGUUAUAGUGGCCGCCGUCAUACCGACCGCAUCCUUGUGCGGUUCGAGGAUCGUUGCUAGCGCUUCCAUUUUUAAAUUUUUUGAACCGAACUGAAUUUGAAGCAAAUGAAUUCAAUGUUCGCUCGCUGGUUUGGAGUUAUAUAAUGGUGUUUAACAAAAUGUGGGCCUCAUUUGGCGUCUAAUGUCUUAUCAUCGAUGAACUGCAAUGUGUACUCGGCACUUAAGAUGAGUUUUUUUUAUAGAAAACAAGUUCCCGAAACCAAGAGCAACAUAGCUCGUAAAAGUGUGAAUGGUGUAAGGUGGUGAGCUGCACAGAGAGGACGACGGGAGAGUGCGAAAAUAUCAAAACAAACCGUAGAAUGUGUUGGUAUUUCUGGGAGUUUGGUCUGUCAUUCAGUGUAUCGGCGCAUUUGAAAUUUCGAAACAACUUUGAACACGUGGACGAUAAAACGUAAGGACUUUCAAUCUUUUUUUCUAUGAAGCCAAAGGAAACGGCUUUUGUAUAUGAAGCAGUGGCGUAGCGUGACCGGGUGACACUCGGGGCGGGUUACUACACUGGAGGAAAACAUUACAUAAGUAACCUCAUUCCUAGCAACUGUGUGUGUGCAAUCGCCAUUUGUCCAGUGGAAGCGAAACAAUUCGGAGG